GCGUUAUGAGUCCUAAGGUAGCGCGAUAAUUUGCUUUUAAUUGAAGGAUGGUAUGAAAGGGUUAACGAAGAAGGUGCUGUGUCUAAAAAUUUAAUUUAAACUAACUUUAAGGUGAAGAGGCCUUUAUGUAAAAGAAGGACGACAAGACCCUAUGAAGCUUUAUCUUAAUUGGAGCUUUCAGGCUCUUAUACGAUUUUGAUGGGAGAUCAGUAGAAAUAAGUCUUCUACUAUUAUAUUAAUCUUACUAGUAUUUCCUAACUUUAUAUGUGUGGCUAGCUACUCUAGGGAUAACAGCGCAAUUUCUCCCGAAAGAUGGUAUUGGAGGGGAAGAUUGCGACCACGAUGUUGGCUUUAGAUACCCUAGAGGCGUAGAAGCUUCU
rnacentral:rRNA from 1 species